AAAAGUAGUGGGUCCUUGGGGAGGGUCUCACAAACGCCUUGGGGCAAGCCAACUAAAGGCGGGUAUAAGACUGGUCCACUCAAGCGCAGAAAAUAAUUUUGCAGCCAUCUUCUUUGUUUGGCUCCUCUGUUUUGAAUGCUGGUAGUUCCUGUGAUCUCAUCAAAUAAAUGUUUUGAGGUCAGGUUUUCUAAAUCCAUCAAAUUAUUUUCCGCCAUAAAUCUAGGAUUGGUUCUAUUUGUUAUGUUCAGAAAAGAACAUGGAUGAUAAAGAGUGUUUCAUGUAGGCAUCUGCAAAUUUGCCCCUUUUGUUUUCGUUUGAACCUAUCAAUCUUGAUCAGUGUUUCAUAUUGAAUGUUUAUGGAUGAACACAAAUUACCAGCUUGUGAACUGUUUUUUAUGGAUCCUAGAUUUGCUUUUGCUUUUAUCUUUGGUCAGUCCUUCCAUUUGAAAUGAAGUUUGAAUGGGGUAGUGAGUGUUGAGCGAUUUUUCUUUCCUGUGAAUAAAAUGGUUGCAGAAGAGCUUUUUCAGAUACGAGCAGUCAUCCCCCCUCUAAUUCUAGAAAAUGUAUAAAUUUUAUUGGAAUUAUGAAGUUCUAUUUUCAGAUAUUUAUAAUCAGAUGCGCGGUUUUGCGAUAGUUGAAGUUCGAAAUUUUUUCUUGUUUUGCGAUUUUUGACAAACUUCUUUGUUUUGAUUGAAUUUUGUAAAAAGAUUUUUGGUGCAUAAUUUGGAUUACACAUCAAACAAUAUUUUGGAAGUUGAUCUUUUGUUAGAGAUGCUUGGCUGCAAGAUGGAAACUCAAUUAUAUAUGGAAGUUGGAUUAUCAUGAUGCAUGAUUUUCACAUCUAUUUUGUAGUGAAGCCUUACAGACUCCGUCCCAAAACCAGUUCAUGUUCUGAUAUUCAACCAUUAAGAUUGAAAUGCGAAGAAAGGAAUUUCAGAAUUGCUAGUUUCAGAACCCUGGGAUGCAGUUAGUAGCAAGGGAGCUUUAAAAAAAAAACAGUAUAAAAGUAGCUCCAUGUUCUAUUAUCCAUCAUCAACCAUACCAUCCUCAUCCUGGCCACAUUGCAUGCUUGUCAAACAGUUUAUAGACUAAUGCCACUAUUCAAUAAGGUAUUGAUCUCUUCAAGUAUUCUUACAGGUCUCAUUAAGAUAUUUCUCGUUUAUUGCAGUCGGUAUGAACAAAUUCAAACAUGAACUGAGAUGUGAUUCUAACUAAUAUCUUCAUAAAAAUCAAAUACAAAUGUUUUCUUAACAUGAAUCAUUACUUACCAGUCGUUGUAUACAAGUAGGCUUCAUCUCUGUGUGAUUCUUCAGCAGUGGAGUCCUCCACUCAUGUCUGUACUUCAUUCCUCAAUAAUGGCAAGCAAGAUGCAAAAUAGACAGCUAUCUUUCUUGUAGUAGUCUUGCUUUGCAUGAUCAAGCCAUUCCUAAUGUCCAAACAUUUUUUUUUUGAGAAAGGAGAAGAAGAACGUGAGUAAAGCCACUAUCAAUUUCCCUAUUACCCUUUUUGUCUUUGCCCAAGAC
rnacentral:lncRNA from 1 species